rnacentral:rRNA from 1 species
AUUGAACGCUGGCGGCAUGCCUUACACAUGCAAGUCGAACGGUAACGGGCCUUCGGGUGCCGACGAGUGGCGGACGGGGGCGUAAUACAUCGGAACGUGCCCGAUCGUGGUGGAUAACGAGGCGAAAGCUUUGCUAAUACCGCAUACGAUCUACUGAUGAAAGCAGGGGACCGCAAGGCCUUGCGCGGACGUGGCGGCCGAUGGCAGAUUAGGUAGUUGGUGGGAUAAAAGCUUACCAAGCCGACGAUCUGUAGCUGGUCUGAGAGGAUGAUCAGCCACACUGGGACUGAGACACGGCCCAGACUCCUACGGGAGGCAGCAGUGGGGAAUUUUGGACAAUGGGCGCAAGCCUGAUCCAGCCAUGCCGCGUGAAGGAUGAAGGCCUUCGGGUUGUAAACUGCUUUUGUUCGGAAAGAAAAGCAUUCUUUUAAUACAGGAGGGUCAUGACGGUACCGUAAGAAUAAGCACCGGCUAACUACGUG